rnacentral:rRNA from 1 species
CCAGGUUGAUCUUGCAAGUAGGCAUAUGCAUGUCUCAAAGAUUAUGCCAUGCAUGUGUAAGUAUGAACUAAUUAAGACUGUUAAACUGUGAAUGGCUCAUUAAAUCAGUUAUAGUUUGUUUGAUUGUACCUGUUAAUCGGAUAACCGUAGUAAUUCUAGAGCUAAUACGUGCGACAAGCCCCGACUUCUAGAAGGGAUGCAAUUAUUAGAUAAAAGGUCAACGCGGGCUUGGCCCAUUGCUUUGAUGAUUCAUGAUAACUCGAAGGAUCGCAUGACCCUCGUGCUAGCGACGCAUCAUUCAAAUUUCAUCCCUAUCAACUUUCAAUGGUAGGAUAGUGGCCUACUAUGGUGGUGUUGGGUGACGAAGAAUUAGGGUUCGAUUCCGGAGAGGGAGCCUGAGAAACGACUACCACAUCCAAGGAAGGCAGCAGACGCGCAAAUUACCCAAUCCUUACAUGGGGAGGUAGUGACAAUCAAUAACAAUAUCGGGCUCUAUGCGUUUGGUAAUUGGAAUGAAUACAAUCUAAAUCCCUUAAUGAGGAUCCUUUGGAAGGCAUGUCUGGUGCCAGAAGCCGCGGUAAUUCCAGUUCCAAUUGCGUAUAUUUAAGUUGUUGCAGUUAAAAAGCUCAUAAUUGGACUUUGGGUUGGGUCGGCUGGUCUGCCCUUGAGUGUGUAUCGAUCGUCUCGUCCCUUCUACCGGCGAUGUGCUCCUAGUCUUAAAUUACUUGGUUGUGCCUCCGAUGCUGUUACUUUGAAGAAAUUAGAGUACUCAAAGCAAGCCCAAGCUAUGGAUAUAUUAGCAUGGGAUAACAUUAUAGGAUUUUGAUCUUAUUGCGUUGGCCUUCGGGAUCGGAGUAAUGAUUAACAGGGACAGCUGGUGACAUUCUUAUUUCACAGUCGGAGGUGAAAUUCUUGGAUUUAUGAAAGACAAAAUACUGCGAAAGUAUUUGCCAAGGAUGUUUUAAUUAAUCAAGAACAAAAGUUGGGGGCUCGUAGACGAUCAGAUACCGUCCUAGUCUCAACCAUAAACGAUGACAACCAGGCAUCGGCGGAUGUUGCUUAUAGUAUUCCGCAGACACCUUAUGAAAAAUCAAAGUUUUUGGGUUUCAGGGGGAGUAUGGUCGCAAGGUUGAAACUUAAAGGAUUUGAUGGAAAGGCACCACCAGGAGUGGAGCCUGUAGCUUAAUUUGACUCAACAUGGGGAAACUUACCAGGUCCAGACAUAGUAAGGAUUGAAAAACUGAGAGUUCUUUCUUGAUUCUAUGGGUGGUGGUGCAUGGCGUUCUUAGUUGGUGGAGCGAUUUGUCUGGUUAAUUCCAUUAACAAAUAAGACUUUAGCCUGCAAACUAGCCAUGUGUAGGUGACCCUCCACGACCAGCUUCUUAGAGGGACUAUGACCAUUUAUUCCUCGGAAGUUUGAGGCAAUAACAGGUAUGUGAUGCCCUUAGAUAUUCUUGGCCACAUGCACGCUACACUAAUGUAUUCAACGAGUCUAUAGCCUUGGCCGACAUGCCCAAGUAAUCUUUGAAAAUUUCAUAAUGAUAGAGAUAGAUCAUUGCAGUUGGUUGUCUUCAACGUGGAAUUCCUAGUAAACGUGAGUCAUCAGCUCGCAUUGACUACGUCCCUGCCCUUUGUAUACACCACCUAUCUCUCCUACCGAUUGAAUGGUACGGUGAAGUGUUCGGAUAGCACUGACAUGGGUCAUUCACCGCCGGCGACGUCGCGAGAAGUCCACUGAACCUUAUCAUUUAGAGGAAGGAGAAGUCAUAACAAGUUUUAGGAAUGCAGCUCUAAUUGGG